UGAAUUUAUAACUUUUUUAGCUCGUUAAGGCUUGUGGACAAGCUCGAGCUCGAGUCGAGCCUAAGCCAACUCGGCUCGAGCUCGAGCUCGGUUCGUUAAAUUUUUAUUCAGCUCGAGCUCGAACUCGAGCUCGUUAAAAUCUUAAUAAACAAAUCCAAACAUACUAAAGCUCGACUCGGCUCGUUUGCAACCCUAGUCAUUGCCAAUUGAGAGGACUACUGCCCUAAUGCUGUUCGGACUUGACAGGAACUUCUGUUUGUUUGGAAUAUAACAAGAAGUCAUUUUCUUCACCAAGACCAUCGAUGUGUGACAAAGACCAUUAAUGUUUAAACUAACGGGAAUUAAUCAUUCAUGUCAAGUGCAAGAAGAAUUAAUCAUUAAUGUUUAAACUAUUGGGAAUUAGUCUAGAAAAUCUUUAUUCUUUAGCAUUCAAGGCUUUCUAAGUUUUUAGGUUCAGGUGAAGCGUUAGUCCUUACAAUAUUAGUGAAGCAUUAAUGCACCAACCUAGUAGAAAUCUUUGGAAAUAGGUAUUGAAAGUGAACUUGGUUAAUGAUAACCAUGGAACAUAUCUCUUUGGAUGAAAGUUUACAAAAUAUUAUGUUGCCAUUACCAAUUGGUUGAAUCAAAAUACUAGUUUCAAUGGUAUCCUAUGACAAUUUGAACAUGUUGUCUCAAUUUUGGACUACUGUAAUAAUAUUUCAGGUCUAAUGAUUUUUUUUUUUGGUUUCAAUAUUUGCAUGCACACUUAUUCUAACCUACUCAUGGAUCAUUUGAGCGAAAAAUUGGCUUGACAGUCUAGAAUUAUUUAGUUUGGUGAAGCCUUCCAAAUCACAGAUGGCUUGCAAAUCCUGAAGAUUUCCUACGAGUUUUUAGUUAGCAUUGCACAUUUGACCAUUUGUCCAUUUGUGAUGAUUCAUUGAAAUCAUGAACUUGCACUUAAUAUGAAUCUCAAGGUUUCUACUAGAUUUAUUCAUGGUUUUGAUCAAACUAGUAUAAUUCAGAGAAGAAAAUGAAGUCUUACACUUUCUUGAGUCGUAUUCCUUUGUGCAUCUGUAUAUUGAGCAAAUAUAUUUCAGUUUCACAUAGCUGCACUCGGCUCAUCAAUUCCUCAAGUUGGCUUCAAAUUUGAUCCAAGUUCUGCUGAACUGACGGAAUCUUCAAUUCUUUCAUGCAGGCCUUUACAGGUGUUACAGAUAUUGCUGGUGGGUAUGCUGCUUGGACACAGACUGGACUUCCCACGGUCUCAUAAAUGCUGCCAUUUUCUGCACAAAAUAGGCGUUUGAUGUACAAAACUCAACCAAUGUAGUAAAUUAACGUUCUGGUAAAAGGUUUACAACAGAUACUACAGAUCCUGGGAUAUGUAGGAGACUGUUAGGUCUCAUUUGUAAAAAGAAGGAAAUAAUAGCAACUUUCUCACACAUGAAGAGUUAAAAGUCCUGUUUACCAAAAAAGAAAAAGAAAAAGAAAGAACAGUUAUAAGUCCUGUUCGUGCUUUGCACCAGUGUACUUAGAUUAGCUUUUAGAAAAAUGAUUGGAGUUCUAAUAAAGGAGCUUUAAUGAGUUCUAAUAGGGGUGAGUCCUACAAUGAUAUUGAUGUUUAUGUCUUUUCUUUUUUUUUUUUUUCAUUGCCAAGUGUAUCAUUUUUAGGGGAUGUAUCAUUUUCCUAGCUUUUAUUCAAUGAAGCAAUGUAGCUCUCUUUGGGCUUCGAUCAAAUUAUAGAAACCUAGCCUAGAGAUGCUGGUCUGACCCCACCUAGUUGCUGCAACUCGCUCACCAAAAUAAGAAAACUAUUACAGCUAACUUGAGGUGUAACCUUUUGGAUUGGGGAGAGAUGGUUGGUAAGGUUCAACAACAGUGAUAAACAAAGAGAGAGAGAUGUAGUCUUUCAGCCUCUCAGCAUUUAAUGUCUUUAAUGUCCUUGAAUCUAGUGAUAUGAGAGUGUUAGGGAAUGGAGAAUUAAAUUAAGAGUUAUUGUGCCAAAUGAAGAGCUUAAAAAAUAGAGGGAGUCCAUCUCCAGGUGACCCAAAUAAUGAGGAGACUACAACGCAAAGCGAAACUUUAUAACUUGAAGAGUGCUAAAGGGAAAACUUGAAUCUUUUUUGUUAUGUAUGUUGUGUUUGUCUUUUAUUGGCUUAGCUUGUUUCUUUUGAAAGAGUAGUUUGUUUUUGUUUAUAUUUGUUUUCCAUACAAAAGAUGUGUAUUAAAAUUCACUAUAUAAAUUUCUUUUUGGGUUAUAAUAUGACUGACUUAAACCCCCCUCCAAAAAAAAAAAAAAAAUCCCUUUUGGAUAGUUGCGGCUUGGAAAUGUGAAACUUGUGCCAAAAGAUGAAACUAGCCUACUAGGGAUACCUCAAGACUAAGGGCGCUUCUUUACUUAGAUAAGAUAUUUGAAUUCAAGUUUUAUUACUGUGCUAUGCAACUUUUUUCCCCCUAUUUUCUUUGGGGCAAAAUUCACUUCCCUAUCUCUUAUUGCCCGACCAGCGGAGUUGUUCCCUCUCCCCUCUCUCUGACAAUCGAUCAGUUCAAAACUUUGAUACAGCAACGUCUCAGUCCAUGUAUUUUGAUCAGUUUGAAGCAUCUACCAUAGAUCAAUUCAAAGCGUCUGUAUGCAUAUAUUGGGUUGUUUUAUUGGUUUGAUUUUCUGAUCUAUUUAUCAAUAGGCUGUCAUGUAGAAUCGACUUCGAUUAUGUCCUGUUAAUAUAGUAUAAUAAUGUAUAUAGUAUAAUAUAUGUUAAUGUAUAAUGUAUAUAGUAUAAUAUAUUAUUGUAAUCACUAUAGGACAGAGCAUAGGGCAUAGGAUUCUUUCGGUUGCUUUCAGCUAUCUGCUUUCGACCCCUUUUCUGUUUUAUAUGUUUUUCUCUCAUGAUGAUGUUGUAUAGCAGCUCCUAUAUAAUGGAGCCUUUUCUUAUAGUUUCAAUACAUUGAAUCACAGAGUUUACUUGCUCUUUCAAUAUCACUCUCUCAAUAUAUUUUACAUGGUAUGGUGUUUUUCCUAGUCUCUUCUUCCGUUGCUGUGUAUCUCGUCUGCAUCACCUUUUCUGUUUAACAGAUUGUUGCAUAUCUCGUCCUUAUCUAAAUUACAGAUUGGACACAACAGAACCUUCGUUUCUUCACUCUGAAUCCAACGCUACCAGAUUCAUCAUCAUCGGACGUCAUAUGCGCUCUCACGCGCCACAUUUGUCGUCGGCGCGUCACCGCUUCUGCCUUCCACGUCCCACGUGCUCCACGCGUCCACCAGUCGCUUGAGCCACCUCACUCUCACGCGCUACACGCGUACGCAAGCCGUUUACACUGUCUGCUUGAGCCAGCUCUCCCGCACGCGUCCCUCUUUCGCGCCGCGCCGCUUCGCGCCGCUUUCGUCUUCGGCUCGCGCCACUUUCGUCUUCGACUCGCGCCACUUGCACACACCUGUGCCCUCGGCUCCAGCUGGCCCAGCUCAAACCGGCUCAGCACCUUUCCCAGGCCGGUUCACCCUUAUUUUUUGUCUUUUCUGGCCGGUUCAGUCCGAUUCCUCACUAAUUUGAACCUUCUGCAUUCACUGGUGCCCUCAGAUUUUUCAGAUUCUACCUCGAUAGUACUAAUUUUCCUUUAUGGAUCGCCCGGACUCCUCUAACCACCCUAUUUCUGUUGUUCUUGAUGGGACUAACUAUGUCUUAUUGGCACAAACUAUGUCUGGAUUCCUCAAAGGAAAGAAACUUUGGCGCAUCAUCACUGGGGAUGUGUACAAACUCAUCCAAGCAACCACGGAAUCCGCAGCCACCACGGAAUCCGUUGCCAAAUAUGUUGACCGUCUGGACGAUUGGGAUAGUAAAAACUAUCAGAUCAUCACUUGGCUUCACAAUACUUCUAUUACAUCUAUCAGUCUUCAGUUUGGACGGUUUCAAUUUGACUCUGCUUCCUCUCCAGCCAAGGCCAUAUGGGAUUUUUUACAAGAACGCUAUCAGACUACUGGCCUUGCUCACCAAUAUUAGCUUCUGAGUCAUCUUCACCGUAUGCGCCAAGAUACAACUCAGACCAUUAAUGAUUUCCUCUCCCAAAUGUAUUAUGUUUGGGAUCAGCUCGCUCUUUCUGAACCUCCAUGGGGUUGUACUAAGGAUGCUGCCUUGUUUACUACUUACCGUGACCAACAGCGCUUGGUUCAGUUUCUCAUGGCUCUUACUUCCCGUUUUGAGCUAGUACGCGCAUCUCUCCUUCAUCGCACUCCUUUACCCACUCUUGAGUAAGUAAUUUCUGAACUACUGUAAGAGGAAACCAGGUUUGGCACUCUCCAUCUGCACCCUGUGGACUUUCUUCUUGCUACUCCCCAGAUUCGGAGUUCUCCUUCACCACCUUCACCACAUAGGUCCACUAUCUGCAACUACUGUAAAAACCGCAGUCUUCCGUCGACUCAUCUUCUGGUUAAUUGUCCAGUUCGUUUUUGUCGGUUUUGCAACAAGACUGGUCCUGGUCAUCUCCAGCAAGAUUGUUUCCGCAAUCCUGCCCGUGUCUCUCGCAAUGGACCUUCCCUCGGGAAUUUUUCCCGCAGCAACUCUCACUGUUCUGGGACUCUGUUUAAACCAAUGCCUGCUCAACACACUGCUGCUGCUGCCUCAGAGGAUUUACCUUUCUCUGUCCCUAUAGAUCCUUCCACUCCAGUCUUCUCUCAAACAGAUAUCGAAGCCAUGCUUCAACAUUUUUGGUAGAAUUCCGGUACUCCUCCAUCUACUGCUUUGUCUGUCACCGCAGGACCCUCGGACGGGGCAAACUCUUGGGAUAGGCCGUAAGCAUGGACGUCUCUACGAACUCAUCCAUCUUCAUGUUUCAGAUUCCUCUUAGAUUACAGCUCCUACCACUGCUCCUCCUUUAUCUCAUUUUCAGCUUUGGCACUGUCGUUUAGGCCAUCUUUCUAUUGGUCGUUUAAAAUCUUUAAUUUCUAGUAGUCAUUUAGGUCACGUAAGUUCUGAUGCUUUAGAUUGUGUGUCCUGUCAACUUGCCAAACAACCUGCUUUGUCAUUUAAUAAAAGUGACUCUGUUUCUCUUGCA